CUCUCCACUUACAGACAUGGAAUGUAUGAAGAAGAUGGGAGAGAUAACUCACCAUAGAAUCAAGACCAAUGGAAUCUGGAUGCACGUUGCAGAAAAAGGCGAAGGACCAGUAGUCCUCCUCCUCCAUGGCUUCCCGGAGUUCUGGUUUUCAUGGCGCCAUCAGAUCACUUACUUAACUAACCACGGUUACCGCGUGCUCGUACCUGACCUCCGCGGCUAUGGCAAUUCCGACGCUCCGCCCUCUCCCUCUUCCUACACCAUCUUCCACAUCGUCGCAGACCUCAUCGGCGUACUAGACCACUUCAAUCAACAACAGGUAUGUGUGCUUUAAUGGCGAUGAAGCUUUAAUUAGCGUUUUAGGGUUGAUUUAGUGUAAGUAUGAAUAUCAGGUGUUUGUGGUGGGACACGAUUGGGGAGCACACGCCGCCUGGCAUCUUGGCCUUUUCCGGCCAGAUCGGGUGAAAGGAAUCGUUGCUCUCAGUGUUGUGUUCUCUGCUAGAUCUCCAGACAUCAGUCCGAUUCAAUCGUUAACGAAAUCAUUCGGAGAUAGUUUCUAUAUGACCCAAUUCCAGGUCAACUUCUUCUCCUCACUCUGUGUUAAACAAAUGGAGAUGAAUUUUAUAAAGUUUGAGAAAUUAAUACAGGAAUCAGGAAGAGCAGAGAGGGCUUUUGCGAAAUACGAUUGCUUGACUCUAAUGAAGAAGUUUUUGCUGAUCAACCAUGGCGAUGUACUGGUAGCACCUCCUGGAAUGGAGAUUAUCGAUCACCUGCAAAUUCCUUCUUCAUUACCUCCAUGGAUAACAGAAGAUGAGCUUCAAGUGUAUGCAGAUAAGUUUCAGGAGACUGGAUUCACUGGAGGUUUAAAUUACUAUCGUGCUAUAGAUCUGUAAGACUCAAAACACAGAUAUUUGCUUUGAUUUGAUUAAAUUCACUUCCUUUUUUUGUUCUUUGUAAUGGUAUGAAUUGAUUUGCAGGAAUUGGGAGCUACAAGCGCCAUGGCAAGGGGCUAAGAUAAGAGUUCCAUCGAAGCUGAUUGUUGGGGACAAAGAUAUUGGAUAUGAAAGUUGGAAAAAAGCAUACGUUCAUGGAGAUGUUAUGAAAGGAUUGAUUCCUGGUGUUGAAGUUGUGAUUAUGGAAGGCCACCAUUUUAUUCAACUUGAGAAACAUCAAGAGGUUUCUGAUCACAUCUUAUCUUUCCUUAACAAACUUGCAUAAGUUAGGGUUUUAGUGUCUCAUAAACCCAAUGCAAGUAUUUGUUGGACUUUUCUUUCUCCAGUUUUUUGUUUUUAUUUCACGAACACAUUGUAAAUUUUGAAGUAAUCAAAAAGACGUGAAGUAGGAACUCACACAUUUGGACUGCAUAGUUGUUCAUGAUCCGGUGGUUUACAGUUAAAAUCACAAAACCACACCAUAUAUUCUGUUUAAGCUUUUUAGAAACUGCAAUAGAUAAGCUUGAAUAUACACACAUGUUUCAUGAUUACCAAAAUAAAUUUCAAUAAAUUGAUUGAUAAAUUUAUUUAUUCAAGUUUUUUAUAAACAAAAAUAUCAAAACUGGGUAAUAAUUUAGGGCGAGCAUGAACCGGGUUGGGUCAGUUUUGCGGUAAAAAAUGACCCAAGACCGAAAUGUUGGUUUUCAAAAAACUAGAACCCAACCCAAACCAAAACAAUGGGUUCAGUUUCUCGGUUCCGGUUUAGUUUUUUGGUUUCGGGUUCAAGGAGUUUGGAUGCCUUUGAGCCAAGUCAAGAAUGAAACAAUAUUUUGAUUCAUUUUGCAAAGAAAAAACUUUCAAUGUUUGCAACCCUAAAGAAAAUGCACAAAAUUGCAAGAAUGGUGCAUGCAUGUCAAAACUAUUAUGUUUGGGCCAAACAAGUUUGAACUUACAAGAUGGUCUAAAAGUUUCAUUUUGAGUAAAUUACACGAAUGGUCCCUAUGGUUUGGGGUAAUUUGCACGUUUGGUUCCUAACUUAUAUUUUUAAUUCGGAAGGUCCCUACAACUUGUUUUUUUUGCACGUUUGGUCCCUGUCUUACCUAAAAAGACUAUUUUGCCCUUGAUUUUUUAAUUUAUUUGAAUAAAGUGGCGUAUGUAAAGUAAAGUUAGGUGAGGUGAAAGUGGGGUUAGAGGUAUGUUUAUUUAAAUAAAUUAAAAAAUAAAGGGCAAAAUAGUUUUUUUAGGUAAGACAGGGACCAAGCUCGCAACAAAAACAAACAGUAGGAACUUCCGAGUUAAAAAAUAAAUUAGGGACCAAACGUGCAAAUUACCCAAACCAUAGGGACCAUUCGUGUAAUUUACUCUUUCAUUUUGUUGCGAGUCCAUUUUGUUUUGAUUUUUUAUAAAGUGAUGAUUUUGCCCUCGCUAUUUUCUUUUUUCAGUUUUUAUUACAAAAAUCUAAAAAAUAAAAGAAAAGAAAAAAGAAAAUACUCAUAUAUCUCUCUCUCUCUCUCGUUUUAACCUCCGGUGAAGGAAGGGAAGGAGGAACUGGCGAUUUCACAAAUUCUUCCUUGACUCACCGGAAAAACGGGCUCCCCUUCUUCGUGACUACUCAACCACCAUCGAUCCACUUCAGUUGUCCGAGCCUAAGCCUGACCUCCUAGGUCAGACCAUCGUACUUGGGUUUUCAACCACCGUCGUUUAGAUCUACAAUGCCACUGUUAUCGUCGUUCUUCUACAAGAGUCAUCUUCUACACACCUAAAAUCGAUACACACACCGAUUCAGAGAAGAACAAGAGAGAGGGACAUGAUUGACAUUUGAUUCAAUCAUUAGAAAGGUCGCAAAACUUUCUACGCUGUAAAUCGUAAUCCCUUUCAUCUGUAAUCGUAAUCCCUUUCACCUGUAAAUUGUAAUCCCAAGCAGAUUUAUGACCUCGAUUUGCUACUUAGCUCUGGCAUUCUUCGUCAGUCAAUCAAGUAUUUCACCAGAUUGCAUAUCGGAGGAGUAAAGUUUAAGAGAAAGCGGGAAAUGGCAUCCCAAUCCUAGCAUCAUCAAGCAAGUAUUUUAGGGUUAUGGUAUGUCAAAGAAAAAAUCAUGCGUCUAUCUCCCAACCCCUUGAUUCACCUCCUAAAUUUUUGAUUUUCGAUUUGGGUUUUAUAGGGCUGGCUAGUGUCAGUUUUUCCUUGUACUGAUUUGGGGUAUACGGUGUCUGCGAUUCAGGGAGAGGGAUAAAACGGGUCCAGUUUGCCCUCAUCUUCAUGUUUAUUGAGUUGUUUGUGUGCUUGUGGGUUUGAGUUGGGCAGUUCAUAGAAGAAAUCGAUUCAGGUGGUGGUGAUGGCAGUUUAUCAGAAAUCGAUUUCUGGGUUCGUGAAUAUGAUGUUCUUGUUCUUGAACUAAAAAAAAACACAAGUGUUCUUGAGAUUCAUAUUUAUAUUUGUGUGUAUGUGUUUAGUUCUAUUUUUAUUUCACAUAAUUAAUUGAACAACAUUGAUAAAAGUGAGGGUUCUUUUUACAAAUCCACUUCCAGAUCUAUAUUAAUUUUGUGUAGAGAGAGAGAGAGAGAGAGAGAGAGAGAGAGAGAGAGAGAGAGAGAGAGAGAGAGAGAGAGAGAAUUUUAUUUUUGUUUUUGUUUUAAUUGUUUUUUAGUUACUGGUAAUAAAACAAAAAUGGAAAAUUAAAUUACAAGGGCAGAAUCGUUUUUACAAAAAAAAUCAAACCAAAUUGGACCAAACUUGCAAGUAAAUGAAACUUUUGGACCAUUGAUGCUAGCCCAAACCGUUUUGUCCCAAACAUGCUAGUUUUGCCAUACCAAAGGGAGCAUUCUUACAAUUUUGUCAAGAGAAUAAGGUGAUGGUUGGCCGAUAUGAAGAAAGUUAAUUGGAAUUGGGCUGAUGCUCAAAGUGGAGAGUUAAAUUAAAAAUCGUAGUGGUUUAAGGGCUUUAUUAUUUAAAAAACAAGAGAGUAUAGUCUAUUUUUCCAAUUGGACACAAAUCAAAAUCAGUCACCGGUGUUUACUCCAUUAGAAGUUGUUAAAAUGUAUAGUGUUUAUAGUGGAGAUCUGGAUACAAACUUGGAUCGUGUGAACACUUUUCGAACUGAUAUUUCUACCUUAUGCCUAGAUUACAAGAAAUUUAGCUUAGGAUGAUCAAAGAGGACACUUACGAUUCUAGGCACAAAAAUCGUAAGCCAAAUUGCUAGAAUGAUUAUGUGAGUGUUUGAAGAAAAACGAGAGCUAAAUUUUGUGUGUCACUUCUAAAAGGAAGAGUCGUUUAUAUAUAAUAAACGAAAUUAAGGUUUCAUUAGGGUUGGAUCGUCAUCAGUUGCUUUACAAGCAAGUCAGGGUAAUCCGGAUUUUAAUGAGGAUUUAGGGUUUCUAAAACUGACGAAUUUCGUUAGUUUUUACCAUAAUCACCCUCAAGAAUUCGAUUUUCCCACUAUGUUCCCAUAUGUAUUUUUUGAAGAGGCAGUGCCCCAGCCAGGGGCUCUGCUCCUUGGACCCCGUUAGGGGCACUGCCCCUGGACCCCCAACAUGUCAUCGAACCGUCUUCUAAUUCGAUCUUAUACAUGCGUGCACUCCACACAAACCUCGUACAUAUAUUAGAGUACAAAUUAUGAAGCCCCUUAGCUCACAUGUUAGUUCUAGUUACAUAAAAUGACAUGGUGACACUAAAAUCACCAACAGAAGUGCCACGAGUACAAGCAACCAAUUAAACUCAACACCCGUUAUGAUUGAUUCGUCUAUUGAAUCUUUUGAAAACAGUCAAGUCAAGGAGUAAGCCCAUCGAUGUUCGAUCAUACCCUUGUAUGUGGGUUUUGAUCCGUGCAUGAUAUAUACGUUGAAACUCAUCCUAUAAAAGAUAAACAAGUAGACUUGAUGUUUGUUGGUGAAGAGUCUUCGACUUAUCUAGAGGCAACAGGGAUCGACAGUGCCUAGAAGUGAUAAAAAGUGAAUUGGAUUCAAUCGAAAUAAAAUAAAAUACAUACAUUGACUCACUAGGUUGAAAUGAGUAUUUAAACUAAAAAUGGAUGUAGACGGUAAGGUAACAAAACACAAAGCAUGGUUCAUCGUGAAGGGAUAUUUGCAAUAAAAGGCUAAUUAUGACCUUGCCUGAGGGUGUCGAUGAUUUUGUAGUUUAUUGUGAUGCCUCGAUCACGGGUUUGGGUGUAGUAUUAAUGCAACGGGGUCGCGUGAUCGCUUACGCUUCGAGGUGGCUGAAACCUCAUGAGGCAAAUUAUCCGACACAUGAUUUGGAGUUGGGGGCUGUGAUUUCGCCCUCAAGAUUUGGCGGCAUUACCUCUAUGGGGUUUGUUGUAUUAUUUACACGUACCACAAGAGCCUGAGGUAUUUAAUGGAUCAGCCAAACCUGAAUAUGAGGCAACGUUGUUGGUUGGAUGUGGUGAAGGAUUAUGAAUGCAGUAUACUUUAUCACCUGGGGAAGGCCAAUGUGGUGGCCGAUGCUCUCAGCCGCAAAGCGGUCGUGGCUCCGAUCAGAGAUUUAUGCUUGAGGAUGACCCUGGUUACUCCGUUGUUGGAACACACUCGUGAGGCACAGAUUGAAGCGAUGAAAGAAGAGCAUCAGAAGAGCGAGCAUAUUGUGGUUCAAGUGGCUUCCUUCGAUUAUGAUAGCCAAGGAUUGUGGACCCUGCAUCGGAGGGUAUGGGUUCCUUAUUGGGGCGGUGCGUGACAAAUUCUGAUGGAGGAGGCUCACAAGUCGAGAUUCUUCAUUCAUCCCGGGGCGAUGAAGAUGUAUAGGGAUCUUCGUCCUGAUUAUUGGUGGCCCUGCAUGAAGUGGGAUGUGACAUGGUUUAUGGAGCGGUGCUUGACUUGCAGGAAAGUCAAGGCCGAGCAUCAGUGACCUCACGACAAGAUGCAACCGUUGGAGAUUCCCGUUUGGAAAUGGGAAGACAUAACGAUGGAUUUUACCAUGAAGCUUCCUAGGACCGCGCGCGGAGUGGAUUCUAUCUGGGUCAUCGUGGAUCGAUUGACCAAGAGUGCGCAUUUCAUUCUGAUCCAGGAGAGUUUUUCUACAGAGAAAUUGGCCGAGAUUUAUGUCUGGGAGGUGGUGACACGUCAUGGGGUGCCAGUAUCAGUGAUUUUAGACCGGGAUAUUCGUUUUAUUUCCAGAUUUUGGAAGUGGUUUCAUGAAGAGACAAGCACUCGUCCCCAUUUCAUACAACAUUUCAUCCACAGACCUAUGGGCAGAGUGAGCGACCGAUUCAGACUCUUGAGGAUAUGUUGCGUGCAUGUGUAUUGAAUUUUGGUGGGAGUUGGAAUACAUAUCUUCCGUUAGCAGAAUUUUCGUAUAACAAUAAUUAUCACACUAACAUUGAUCGAUCUCCUUUUGAGAUGCUCUAAAGGGAUUCACUUGAAGGUGGUCUCAUUAUCGUAAAAGGAAACAUAACGACAAGCAUUCUUUGAUGGUGGUUCGUGCCAAUGAUCAUGGGUGUGAUCAUGGUGCUGCUGGAAUGUAGACGAUGAAGCUUUAUAAGUAACUAUGUCAUUUGGUUUCGAUUGAAAGUACACCUAUAGAAGUGAAAGAUUCGAAGCAAUGGUGGUGAGCUUUUUCGAGCUGCAUGCAGGUUCUUGAGUAGAAAUUACAUGAAUAACCGUGUGUUUCACUAUUUCUUAUUUCUAAAAUAACCCCAAAAAAUAAAUGAAAAAAAAAGAGUAAAACCAUCUUCUAAAAUAGACCAAAUCUAUAAUAAAAGGAAACCAAAAGGACCAUAUUGAUAAUUUAUAAAACCAAUUGGACUGUACCAAUUAUAUCAGCAAACUACAUGGACCAAUUUUACAAUCUUCUCUAAUAUAAAAGAAGUAUAAUCACAUACGUGUUUGAAAAUGGGGCCGUUGACCAUAAUCACAAUAAGUUUAAAUGCAGCAAGUUUUACGUUUGACUACAUGAUCCAGUGUUCUUACAGGAAACAAACGUCUCUCCAGUUACAGACAUGGAAAUGGAAUGGAUGAAGAAGAUGGGUGAAAUAACUCACCAUACAAUCAAAACCAACGGAAUAUCGAUGCAUGUUGCAGAAAAAGGCGACGGACCUGUAGUAGUGCUCCUCCUCCAUGGCUUCCCGGAGUUCUGGUUUUCAUGGCGUCAUCAGAUCACUCACUUAAGUAACCAUGGUUACCGUGUCCUCGCACCUGACCUCCGCGGCUAUGGCGAUUCCGACUCUCCAUCCUCUCCCUCUUCCUACACCUUCUUCCACAUAGUCGGUGAUCUCAUCGGCGUUCUAGAUCACUUCAAUCAACAACAGGUACGUCAUUUGUGUGCUUUAAUGGCGAUGAAGCUUUAAUUAGCAUUAGGGUUGAUUUUGUGUACGCAUGAAUAUCAGGUGUUUGUGGUGGGACACGAUUGGGGGGCAACCGCCGCCUGGCAUCUGAGUCUUUUCCGGCCAGAUAGAGUCAGAGGAAUCGUUGCUCUCGCUAUUCCGUUGUUUCCUAGAUCCCCAAUCAGUCCAACUCAGUUAUUCACCAAAUCGUUUGGAGAUAAUUUAUACAUCUCUCAAUUCCAGGUUCUUCUUCUUCUCUUCUUCUUCUUUCUCUCACUGUGUUUACAUGGAGAUGAGUUUCAUAAAGUUCAGGAAAUUGAUACAGGAAUUAGGAAGAGCAGAGAGGGCUUUUGCGAAAUACGAUUGCUUGACUGUAAUCAAAAAGUUUUUGCUUAUCAACGUUGGCGAUGUACUGGUAGCACCUCCUGGAGUGGAGAUUAUCGAUCACCUGCAAAUUCCUUCUUCAUUACCUCCAUGGAUUACUGAAGAUGAGCUUCAAGUGUACGCUGAUAAGUUUCAGGAGACUGGAUUCACUGGAGCUUUAAAUUACUAUCGUGCCAUGGAUCUGUAAGACUGAAAACGUAGAUAUUGGAUUUGAUUUCUACUUUUUUGCAACAGUAAUCGUAUGAAUUGAUUUGAAGGACGUGGGAACUGGAAGCGCCAUGGCAAGGGGCAAAGAUCAAAGUUCCAUCGAAGCUGAUUAUUGGAGACGAAGAUAUUGGAUUUGAAAGCUGGACGAAGGAAUAUGUUGAGGGAGAUGUUAUGAAAGAACUGAUUCCUGAUGUUGAAGUUGUGAUUAUCGAAGGCCACCAUUUUAUUCAACAAGAGAAGCAUCAAGAGGUUUCUGAUCACAUCUUAUCGUUCCUACACAAACUUGCAUGAGUUUGGGUUCUAGGAUCUGUAUACUCUGAUAGUAUUAGUAUACAGAGAGUAUUACUCUCUCUACCACUAAAAAACAAUAUCAAAGCAUAAUAAAUAGUAAUAAAUAAGCUCAUGGACUCCACUUGUUAUUAUUUAUGUAUUAAUUAUGAAAUUGAAAAUUUCGUUAAUUCUUAUUAUUAUCCGGGCCUAAUGUCAUAUCGCGCAACUAACUAUUGGUUUAUUUUUUAGGGUAAAUUACACAGAUGGUCCCUGUGGUUUAGGGUAAUCUGCUAGAUUGGUCCCUAACAACUUUUUUUUAACUCGGACCAUCCCUAAUUUAUUUUUUCGUUACACGCUUGGUCCCCUAACCAUUAUAAAAAGUCUAAUUUACCCUUACUGAUUUCUUUUACCUAUUUUAAAUUAUCAAUUAAUUAAAUGUGGAAAAAGUGUUAAUUAAAAAAAUAUGUUGGUCUGAUUCAAGAACCUACACAACCGAAGCCUCAUCCCCUCCCUUCCUUCCUUGAUUUCAGUCGUCGGAAAAUAUCACUCCUCUCGUCGGAAAAUCUCACAGAUUAACGAUGUCUUCUCCAGAUUAAGGGUAAAAUAGUCUUUUUAUAACGGACAGGGACCAAGCGUGCAACAAAAAUAUAAAUUAGGGACGGUCCGAAUUAAAAAAAGUUGUUAGGGACCAAGCUAGCAGAUUACCCUAAACCACAUGGACCAUCCGUGUAAUUUACCCUAUUUUUUAAAACGUUCUUAAAAUUUUCUUGUUAUUUUCAUUUUAUUUCAAGUUCUAAAAAGCUCGUCAUGGCUCCAAAGCUUGUGCUUGCCACCAAACUUUACUAAAAUGCCGCCUUAACUCAUAUAUGUGUAUAAAAAUGAAUAAUAGUUGAAAAUACAUAUAAAAAUAUUACUUAUGUACAAAAUUGCCGCCUUAAGUCACGCCAUACAAACGACUUAGCUCACCAAGGUUUGUAAAAGUUUCGGGUUUGACAUUGCCGACAAGUUACACCUUAUGUUAUUUGGAACCUUGUUUUAUUUGCAUUCUAAGGGAAUGAAGUCCGGUUUUAUGUUUUAAAAAGUCAUUUUGGUAAAAUUCAAGGUUUCAUUAGAUGAAACCCGAUAUAUGCCACCUCAUUUAAUGGAGUUUGCUAUGUCAUACCUCCAUGUGCCACUAAGACAAUCUCCAACGCAUCUUCAUUUUCCCCCCAUAAAUGGAGUAAAAAAUGGAGUAAAUAGUAUUUCAUUUCCAAUCCUACUCCAUAUUCUACCCCAUUUUUUACCCCAAAAAAUAUAUUCUUAGAAUAUUCCAUUUUUAUAACUUAUAUAUAUUAUCAAAUACAUCCAUCUACUAAUUAAACUCUAUAUUUAUGAUUAAUUAAUAUAAAUUAGUAUAUAUAACAUGAUAUUAUAAAUAUUAAGUAUUGCAUUUAAAUUAUACUUAGUAGAUAAAAUAAACUAGAAAUGUAUAAAAUAAAAAUAAGAUAGACUAAAAUUGGCAACCAAACUUCACCUUUAUUUUUGGAGAUAUGAAUAGUAUUCCUCCAUAUAUGGGGGAAUACUAUUCAUAUCUUCAAAAAUGGAGGUUAAAAUGGGGUAGGGUUGGAGAAGAAAUGAGGGAAGAAAUGGAGAUUGGGGGUGGGUGGGAGAUGCCCUAAGGAUUUAUAUAAUUAAAACUUAUUUAAAAAGCUUCUGAUGAAUAAGUAUCAUUUCUUGUCUUUCUCCUUACUACAAAUCCAUUUUGCUCUACCUUCGUCUAGUUUUGUCUAUAAUGGUUGUGUAUAUGAUGGCUGAUGGUAACUUUCAAGGUAUUUUUUUUUCAAGAUAUCCAUCUUUAAUGUACACUAAUGACAUACAUCAUUUGUUUGAAUAUAUCGAGUUAACGAGGAUGGACAAGAAAUAAUUUUAUGCUUUUUUGUAAAGAUAUACUGCUAGGAGAUGUCUGAAGGUGUAUUAUUUGUUCACCCGAAGAUAAUUUUUCAAAAGGUUAGAACUUUAAAGGAACAGAUUUUGACUACGAUGAGUUAAUUGAUGUUGGUUACAAUUGUGGGUGUGUACUGGAAAUGUAGAUAGACCAUCUUGGGGAUAAUAUGAAGGAGUGGCUACAUUAAGAUCUUCACGAGGACCAUCACUUAAAUGUUAGAGAUGUGAAAGAAGAUCCUUGUCAAAAUUCGGAUUUUCCAGAAGAUGAUGUUAAAGAUCUGGAUUGUGAGGUUGGCCUUAAUGAUGUGACUCCUAUGAACAAGACUAUGAAUGAUCCUUUCCUCAGUAAACUUUACAGUAAGGAGCAUGAGCGGCUCAACUAGUUUGGAAGCUUUAAGCGAACAAAAAAUUAGGGCCCAUUGUCAUUACUAUAAUUAAUGUUAUAAAUUAAAUCCUCCUCCUUUCCAAAAUCCAACUUGACACAAUGAAUAUUAAAAAAAAAAUUAAGUCAUAUUAACCCUAAUAAAUAGUCUAAUCAAGAAAAAAGAGUCAGUCACUACUAUUCUACAAUCUACAUCAAAGUAUAAAAAAAUAGAUUUCUUCCUUCUUUUGUGCAUAAAAUACUACAUCAAACAAAUUUCUAUUUUCUACAUCAAAUAAAACUUUAUCAAAAUAACAAAAUUUAUCGAUUAUCAUAGAUACUAGAUUAUCAGAUUAUCACAAAUUCACAAUCAUAGAUAAUCAGCAAUGUAUAAUGGACUGAUGGAGUUAUCGGUUAUGGUGAACAGAGAAUCAGAGGAAGAACCGAAGAAGAAUAAUAGAACAUAUCUUUUCAAAAUUCAACCUUUCAAGUUUCAGGACAUGAAUCACCAAAUUAGUUGAGUUAAUCUUGACACUUGACGUCCUUUUCAAAAAGAAGAAUCAAUCAAUUUAUUACAAAUCGCUAGGAAGAAGAUUAGAAGAAGAAUAGAGAAUCAGAGAAGUAAUGGUUUCUACGGUUCUGAGUAGAAUCAAGAAUGAAAUCACUAAUUGUUAGUUAGAUUCAGAGGACAGAGAAAGUAGAAGUGAAGAACAGUUAUCGAGUCGUAGUUUCUGCUGAUGUGCUUGAAUGAAGAAUCCGAAAAAACAAUCAACUAAUUUAAUUUUCCGUUAAGGGGGGCCUAUAACAAUAAGGCCGACCCUAGUAAGGAGAAUCCAACCCUAAAAAAGUACCUAAGGAUGACCGCUACCAAUGAUCCAUAAAUUGAUAUGCAAACAAGCUUCAAUGAAGAUGUUUACUGGAAGAAGUAGAAGCAUGUACUAGGUAUGAGGCUUGAAAGUCCCAAACAGUUAAAACAUAUGGUUUUCAAUUCUGCAGGUGCUAAUGGGUAUCGAUUAUAUUAUAAAAAAAAAUAAUAGUAGGAGAUUAAAAAAAAUAAUAAUAGGAGAUUACUGGUCAAAUGUUGUUUCGGAAAGUGCACUUUUAUGCUUUGGGGUUCAUGGAUGAGUGAAGAAAAUUCAUUCCAAAUCAAAUCUCUUAUUAAUGAUCAUAAUUAUGCUAUAAAUUUUAAGUUAGAAUUAAUUGUUAACUAUGAUUGGAUUUGUAGCCAUUACACACUUGAAUUCCUACACAAACUGAAAAUGAGUAUUAGGCAACCUAUGGAAUAGGUGAAAAAGAAAUUUGGAAUAAAUGUCAGUAUAACAUAGUGUAAGUAUGACAUAGUGUAGGAGGGACAAAACAAUUUAUCUGAAAUAUUAUGUAUCAUGACAAUUAACCUUAUAUUUUUUAUUUUANNNNNNNNNNNNNNNNNNNNNNNNNNNNNNNNNNNNNUAUAUAUAUAUAUUAAGUAACAUAUCAAAUCGAAAUAAUAAUUUUCAUAAAUCACAUCAAUUGACAAAUAAUUUAGUUUCAUCUACAACCAUAAAUAACUUGGUUUUUUCUAUGGAUAAUGACUUAAAUGAGUAAAAUACUUUGUUUUGAUGUUCAUAUUUAGCCAAUAAUAUUUUUUGUACACAUUUUACCAUUGAAGUUGUUUCAAAUGCACCUAAAAAGAUAAUACUAUCUAUUGUUAUAAGUAAUAUUAUAUUUUCUUAAAUAUGUGGAAUAAUUUCAAUGGUCAAAUGUAUAUAAAAAAUGAUCACACAUAUCCCCACAUCCACACUCAUCCCUAGCUAUCACUAUCUUGGCCCCUUGUUGUAUAUCGAAUCCCUUCUUAUGCCAAGUACUUAAUACAAAGAUCUUUAUUAAUAUUGACUUUUAAACUCAUAAUCGUUUCUACCGAGUGUAGUUAAUUGAGUCAAAUAGAAAUAAUUUAUAGGACUAUGCCUAUAUAAAGGGAUUGACUUGAAGGUGAUCUCAUUAUCGUAAAAGGAAACAUGACCACAAACAUUCUUGGAUGGUGGUUCGUGCCAAUGAUCAUGGGUGUGGUCAUGGUGCUGCUAGAGGGUCGACGAUGAAACUUUAUAUGAAACUGUGUCAUUUGGUUUCGAUUGAAACUUGAAAGUACACUGAUAAAAGUGAAAGAAUCGCAACAAUGGUGGUAAGUUUUUUUCUAACUGCAUGUGAGUUCUUGAGUAGAAAUUACAUGAAAAACCGUGCGUUUGACUGUUUCUUAUUUCUAAAAUAACCAAAAUAAUAAUAAUAAUAAUAAAUGGAAAAAAAAAAAGAAAUGAGUAAACCGUCUUCCAAAUCUAUAAUAAAAGUAAACCAAAAGGACCGUAUCGAUAAUUUUUAAAACCGAUUGGACUGUACCAAGCAUAUUAGCAAACUACAUGGACCAAAUUUACAAUCUUCUCUAAUAUAAAAGAAGUAUAAAAGAAGUAAAAUCACAUACGUGUUUGAAAAUGGGGCCGUUGACCAGAAUCACAAUAAGUUUGAAUGCAGCAAGUUUUAAUUUUGACUUUCAUGAUCCAGUGUUCUAACAGGAAACAAACGUCUCUCCAGUUACAGACAUGGAAAUGGAAUGGAUGAAGAAGAUGGGUGAAAUAACUCACCAUACAAUCAAAACCAACGGAAUAUCGAUGCAUGUUGCAGAAAAAGGCAACGGACCUGUAGUGCUCCUCCUCCAUGGCUUCCCGGAGCUCUGGUUUUCAUGGCACCAUCAGAUCACUUACUUAACUAACCACGGUUACCGUGUCCUCGCACCUGACCUCCGCGGCUAUGGCGAUUCCGACUCCCCAUCGUCUCCCUCUUCCUACACCUUCUUCCACAUAGUCGGUGAUCUCAUUGGCGUUCUAGAUCACUUCAAUCAACAACAGGUAUGUCAUUUGUGUGCUUUAAUGGCGAUGAAGCUUUAAUUAGCAUUAGGGUUGAUUUUGUGUACGCAUGAAUAUCAGGUGUUUGUGGUGGGACACGAUUGGGGCGCACACGCCGCCUGGCAUCUGAGUCUUUUCCGGCCAGAUAGAGUCAAAGGAAUCGUUGCUCUCGGUAUUCCGUUGUUUCCUAGAUCCCCAAUCAGUCCAACUCAGUUAUUCACCAAAUCGUUUGGAGAUAAUUUAUACAUCACUCAGUUCCAGGUU
rnacentral:lncRNA from 1 species